rnacentral:misc_RNA from 1 species
GAUGAAGAACGUAGCGAAAUGCGAUAAGUAAUGUGAAUUGCAGAAUUCAGUGAAUCAUCGAAUCUUUGAACGCACAUUGCGCCCCCUGGUAUUCCGGGGGGCAUGCCUGUCCGAGCGUCAUUACAACCCUCAAGCUCAGCUUGGUGUUGGGCCCCGCCGCCCCGGCGGGCCCUAAAGUCAGUGGCGGUGCCGUCCGGCUCCGAGCGUAGUAAUUCUUCUCGCUCUGGAGGUCCGGUCGUGUGCUCGCCAGCAACCCCCAAUUUUUUUCAGGUUGACCUCGGAUCAGGUAGGGUUACCCGCUGAACUUAAGCAUAUCAAUAAGCGGAGGA